GCAAAACAGGAAACUGGUGGAUAGGAGGCAGGACUAACUUGCAGCUCCCACUCAGAAGGACAGAGCAGUGUGUGGACACCCAUAUCGUGAACUUUUGCUCC